UCGUCCGCAACGUGAUGCUGAAUGAAGAGACUGAGAACUCUGGUUUUGGGCUACUAAGGGCUACCUGUACGCCGUCGAUGAGAAAAGGCUUCUACACUGUGUCUGCAUGGUACAAGAAGGAGGAUGGACGAAUCGGUGGGGCUCACUGCCAGUGCGUAGCAGGGCUCAGCGAAACUUGCCAUCGCGUGGCUGCUGUUCUGUUUUUCGUAGCAGAUGCAGCACAGUCUGGAGUGAGAACAUGCACGGAUCUCCCGUGCGCUUUGAUUGUGCCCUCACAAGGGAAGAGAGCCCCUUCUCCAAGACCACUGUAGGAAAUACAUUUCCAAAAACACUUGGUACAGAAGCCAGCAAGGGAAUGCAGGAGGCGUAUUUACAACCCAUGUGAAGAACAGCGGGAUAGCGAAAGUGAUGCAUACAAAGACCUGCUUGAAGACAUGGGAGACCACCACCCGUCUAUGCUGUGGUUUCGGUAUGCCGCCCCAAACAAGGAUGCCGUUGUACCCAAGAAGCCAUCUCUGCCCAUCAGUGACGAUGCCAACCUCAGCACGGAAGGUGUUAUAGUGAUCA